rnacentral:lncRNA from 1 species
CUAUAUAUAAAUUAUGUAUAUAUUAUACUUAUGAUAUGUGCACAUGUUAUAUAUCAUUAAUAUAUAAAAUGUGUCAUAGAAAAUAUAUUACAUGUUAUAUAUCUAAAUAUGUGAAUAUAUAUAUACAUGAGAAGUGAUGUAAAAUAAUUAGAUGACCAUACUAAAAAACUCAAUAUCUAAAAGAAAUAAAUAGGAAACACCGCAUUUCCAAUGUUUUUGUCUCUCCCUCUAUUUAAAAAAAAAUUCUCAUAUCACAUGUUUUGUUUUAUCAGUUGCAUUUGCAUAUGUGUACAUUUGUUGUGUGUGUUUGCCUGUUAUUGUGUGGACAUUAUUUAUCUACUGCUACAUAAAAAAUCAUCCCAAUACUUGUCAACAUAAACAAAUGUUUAUUAUCUUUAUUACUUCCCGGUUUCUUUGGGCAUGGCUUAGCUGGGUCUUAGCUCUGGAAAUGGCUCACUUUGGAGUUUCUCACAGAAGGGAGAUCAAGGUGUUGUCCGUGGCUGGGCUCUGAAAGUUUAAGUAGCAAAGUAUUCACUUCUAACUCAGUUUCAUGGUAGUUGGCCAGAUAAAGCUCCUCAAGAGCUCUUCGACUAGAAGCUUUAGUUUCUUUCUGGCUGUUGCCUGAGGCUACCCUUCGGUUUCUUGCCAUAUGGACCACUUCAACAAGAUAAAUUGCUUUAACAAAUCUUGUGCAUUAAGUAAUAGAGAAAGCCUGAUAUUAAGAUGAAAAUAAUUGAUUUAAUCACUGAAGUGGCAUCCACUUUAACAUAUUUCUCUUCUGUUUUUCAGUAGCAAGUUAAUCCAAUAAAAGGGAUUUACACAAAGCCAUGAAUACCAGGGGCAGGGAUUAUUAGGGCUGCAUAAAACAGGUUGUAGGUUGGGUUCUGAGUCAGUUCUCUUGUUACAUAGAUUGUCCUUGCAAGCUUGCUUUGAUAUUCCUGUUUUAUAGUUUUGUUUUGUUUUGUGUGUUUGUUUGUUUUAUGCCUUCAGUUUUCUACAAUUGACAAUCUUAUACCUAAUUUAAUUUUGUUUUAUAAAUGUCUUUUGCUCUCUGGCUGCAUACUCAUUUAAGACCUUUGUGUUCAUGGGCAGGGCUUGUAAAACAGAAUUCCUUAUUAUGUGUUCUGAUUAGGCUGGGUUUGGGUAUUUCACAUAUUCAAGAUUUUUUUUCUUCCUUUGUUUUUAUACUUUCUCCCUUUCUUUCUUCCUUUUCCGUGUGCAUUCAUCCUUUGGUAGAGGCAUAUUUUAAUCUUCUGACUGGACUGUAUAAUCCUCGAUAACUCUUUUGAGACUAGUAGGGAAAUUGAACUGGCAGUGGGAGAAGUUUUCACCCUUUGGUUGAUAGAUUUCUUUAACUGUUACUGCCUUUAGAUGGGAAUUUGUCUUUCAUUCCACUUUGACAGAAUUUGUCUUUCUUGNAAUUCCUUGGUGGCUUAGCAGGUUAAGGAUCCAGCAUUGUUGCUGCCGUGGCUCUGGUCACUGCUGCGUGCAGAUUCUACCCUUGGCCACAGGCACGAACAAACAAAUCAAAACAAAAACCAACAACAACACUCUCUGUGAUAAUUGCUAACCCCAAUUCAUGAAUCUUUCUGAAAUUCAUUUACACAAAUAAAAAUUCUUCCAACAAUGUUGAGGAAAGUUUUAAACUUUCAUGUAUUUUCUAAAUCAGUUAUCUCUUGUGUCUUCUCUUUCCAGGCUUCCUUGUAUUGCUGCUAUUUUAAUUUUUCUAAUUUUUUGUUGGUUUAUGCUUUUUUAUUUUAUAAUUUUAUUGUUAUUAAAAUGACUCUUGGGGGGAAUGGAGGUAAAUACAUAAUUCAACAGUCUUUUCCAGAUGUGUUUUAUUUUACUAUUAUUUUUCAUAUUCAGCUUCGAAUUACUUUGUACAUCUCUACAAAAUUAAUGUUCCAUUAUUUUAUCCAUGUUUUGCUUAAUGAAUUUUAAAACACCACAAGACAAAAUUCAAAUAUCUUUCUUCUGGAACCACUUUCUGCUUCAGGACUUGACUCAUAUUUUCUCUAACAUUGACACUGUUUCUUCCCAUCCCCUACUGGCUAAGGCCUUACUUACUUCAUCCUGACCACUCUUACUUUUUGUUCCCAUUGUCUGUAAAUGUAUGCUAAUCCCAUUUACAAUUGAGGGCUUCUGGAAGUGUUUAUUUGCUUAAGUCAAAUAAGAUUAAGUGUGAGACUCAGUAUUUGUUCCUAGAACCGCUAAUUUCAAAGUAUAGCGUUUUCGCAUUGCACUAAGAUGCUCUAUAACUGGAAGUUCAAGUCUGAAAUUCUCUGGAUUGCAUGUUUAUUAUGUUAAUACACUAUCUAACACAUGUGCUAUAAUAUAAAAAAAUUUAAAAAUAUAAAAAAAAUCUGUACUUCCCCUUUGCAAGAGAAAUUAUAUAUUCAAGAGAAAGGUGGAGGCAUGAGAGAAUUAUUUAGGAAAAAAAAAACAAUUUUUUAAAUACCCUUUUAGCUCAUUUUUUACUGUAGAUUUGUGUCCUUCUUUAUUACAGGCAUUUUAUUCUAAGCAAAACUGAAUAAUUGAGGGUUUUUGUUAUAUAAUUGCCUAUUGAUUUGUACAACAAAAUAGCUAUAUUAAUUGAAAAUAAUAACAUUGGUUUUAUUUAACUUUUUUGUUUUAAGAACAUCUCUAAAACUUCUUCAUUUGAUGCUAAGAAAAAAAUUUUAUAGGGAGAAAUAUUCUAAUUUUUCUGAUUUGAAUUUGAGGUUUUUUUAAUUAUGUAAACCCCUGAAACUGUUUCUUUCUCUUGUGUGUAUGAUUUGAAGAGUCUACUCAAGCAAAUUGUGUUUCUAGCACAUGAAAAUUUAAUUAUGAGAAUUUGUUUAUUUUGCUGGAUUCAAAGUGGAGAUCAGACAUCACUGAUUUAUGCUUAGUUAACCCCACAGACAAUAUUGAAACAAACAAGCUGGAUCACUCAGGUUCACGGUAACUGCAUAUUAUAUGGGGAAUUUCUGAGAAUAUCGGGCUAUGGCAAGAGUAAAUAUGUAAAUAUAUGUAUAUAUUUGUUAGAAAACACCAGAGCCAACUGUAAAAUAAAUGAAAAACAAAUACAAUCUGAAAGAUCUUAAAUAUUUACUUCAAAAGUUCUGUUUCUAUUUAAUACAUAUAAAUAGCAAUACUAAUUGUAGUGUUUCUAUAGGUUAUUAGAUCAAAAUUAUGUUUCUCUGAAUUCUCAAAUAUAUAGUGAUAGGUUAACUCAUUUUGUUAUUUAAUACAGAAAUAUGUAUUCAGAGAUUUAAAGAACAUCUUUUUUUUAUGUUUUUUUUUUUUUUUGCUAUUUCUUGGGCCACUCCCCCGGCAUAUGGAGGUUCCCAGGCUAGGGGUCCAAUCGGAGCUGUAGCCACCGGCCUCCUCCAGAGCCACAGCAACGCGGGAUCCGAGCCGCGUCUGUAACCUACACCACAGCUCAUGGCAACGCCGGAUCAUUAACCCGCUAAGCAACUGCAGGGACCGAACCCUCAACCUCAUGGUUCCUAGUCGGAUUCUUUUAACCACUGCGCCACGACAGGAACUCCUAAAGAACAUCUUUCAACUAUGAAUAACUAUCUCUUGGAAGGAAUUAGUUUGUGAUUGUACUAUUAUCGAUCUGUAUUGUUCAACAUGUUUCCUUUGGGGGAAGUGUAUGUCAGCAUUCUCAUAUAGAAAUAAUCUAUUCUGUUAUUAAGGGACUUCAGAAAAUGAUUCAGAAGAGCUGGAAGCAACACCUGUCAAUUUUUUAACAUUCCUUGAAUUAGGGAAAUAUUUUAUACAUAAACAUUCCCAUUGUGUGUAACUCAAAGCUGUUAUAACCCUCAAGAUCAAAGAUCAUCAGAACACAAUUCUAACCAUAAUAGCCACUGCUACCCAUGGUCUGUCACUGAUUAUCUAAUAAUUAUAAAUCAUUGAGAAUGCUAGAAUUUGCUUUUUCAUCAUUCCUGAGUUCCUGAAUAGAGUUGGAAUAGGAAAUUUAUUCAGCGAUAUGUUGCAUAAUAGACUUCAUGUUUCCCUUGUUUUCCUUUCAUUAUCUUUUGUUUCAUUUUGCCUUGUUUAGUUUACUCACUAGUCAACAUAUUUCAUCUGAUAAUUAACUUUCAUUCUUUUGAGAAAACUGGGUAAUAGCAAACAAUAUAAAUCUAUUCUCAAGACACAAUUGCAUCCUUCACUUUACUAUGUGAAUUUAUGGCAUGGUUCAUAUUUUGAUGUAUAUAUUUUUGCAUGCUGAAAAUUCAUUUUUUUAAGGCUCAAUAGGGUAGAGCCAUAUCAUCUUUCUCAAGAAAUUUGACAUAUCUGUUAGGUCACAUGUAGAUAAAGGUCAAAGUAUAAACUGUAAAGUUAUUUCUUUUCAGAACCAAUUGUGUAUUUAUAUGAACCAAGAAAGUAUCUCAAUAGUACUACACAUCAACAUUGUUGAAAGAACCUCUUUUCAUAGAGAUGCUGUCUUCAAUAUGAAGUAAUCUUUUCUCCCCAAAUUGUUUGACUAAACAUUGGGGUAUUUUAUCUCAAAUAUCUGCUUGUCUAUUCACAUGAUACCAAAUUUUACUAUAAAAGGUUCUCUUCCCUAGUUUAAUACCUUAUUAUACAUUAUGCCACAUUUAUUAUCUAUCUCUCUAGGGUAAUACAAGUGUCCUGUUUUGCAUGUGGUUUCCAAUAUCUGCCGUCGGCUUAAACAGGGAAUGUAAGGAAUGUCCAGUUGAGAAACUGCCAGAGACAUUCAAAUGAACCAUAUGUCAUUAGCGGGCAUUAUUUGCUCAUAAAUCUCAUAUUUAUUGGGAGCAUUUUUCAAUUCCAGAAGGUGAUCAUAAAGUUAUCUUGUCUAUGUGUUGGAACAGUGGCAAACAGAAAAUGCUCUCACAAAAUCAUUAGACUGAAGCUAAGUCUGAUGGCUUGAAAUAGAUUCUCAUGUGGAAAAGAACAUCAAGGAGUAUGACACUCACCAAGCAACCUCGUAUAAAUAUGAAAAAUGGCUAAGGACUCUGUCAAAAAUUCAAAUUGAUUUCACAAUUGUAUUGCAACAAGAACACUAGGAUGGUUUUAGUUGCUUCAGAAUAGCUGCUGUGAAUUCUGUGUCUACAUCAUAUCUUUGAUGUGGCAUGCAGUGUUAUUCCAAAGUCACUUGAAGGAGCAGAAUUAUCUCCUCUGGACCAUUUGCUAUUGCUUUUAAAAGAAGCUUCUCAAGCUCUUACUCUU